UACGUAGGUGGCAAGCGAUACUCGGAAUCACUAGGCGUAAAGCGCAGGUAGGCGGUUUGGUAAGUCUUUUGUGAAAGCUCCCGGCUUAACUGGGAGAGGUCAAGGGAAACUACUAGACUAGAGUGAUGUAGGGGAGACUGGAAUUCCUGGUGUAGCGGUGAAAUGCGCAGAUAUCAGGAGGAACACCGAUGGCGAAGGCGGGUCUCUGGGCCGUAACUGACGCUGAGGAGCGAAAGCAUGGGGAGCGAACAGG
rnacentral:rRNA from 1 species